AUUUUAAAUUACGCUUUUAUAAGUAUAAUUUACAUUUAUUAUUAGACUUUUACAUAAGGGAUAUACAAAAUUAAUAUGUAAAUAACUUUCGACAGAUAUAUUUAAUAAUAUGUGUGAUAAUCGGUGUCAGUUAUUUCACAGAGAGAAUUACAAGAAAGAAGAAUUCUUACGUAUGAAAUGGUUUUUAAAGAAUCAACAGAAAUUAAUAGAUAAUUUAGGUAUUGCAAAGAGUACAGCACAAAUUAAAAUAAAAAGAAUAGAAAAAGAAUCACCAAAAAAAGAUAAGAUCGAGCCCAAAAUAAGUAAAAAAUACAUGCCGACAUGGAGACCACCUAAUAUUGAUGGUUCUGUAAAUAUUGAUAUAAUGAAACCAAUUGAGCCAGAAAUACGUGACAUUCUUUAUGAAAAAGGAAUUGAAAGUUUUAUUUGCAGUGAUAAUUAUUUUCGUAAAAGAUUACAGAAAUUGCCGGAAGAUCGUUUUUAUUUUCCCGAUUGUACAAAUUGGCUUUAUGGAUGGCGUCUUAAUGAUUAUAAUUUACCUCCUAUUAGUAAAUUUGGUGCCAAAUCUGUUAUACAGGCUCAAUUUUAUCAACGGACUGCAUCUUGUCUACAGCGAGACCCAGAUUGAUCUCCAUCCGAAGUACUUAAGGCUUCUAUCAGUUGGUUGUAAGAGAGGGGCAUACAUGGAAAGGCAAACACUCGCUAACGGAAUUAAUAUGGGGUGUCUGGUUGACGACGAUAACGAAAAUUGAUUUCACCCUUAUACCCCUCUUACUCGGGAUCUAUUCUCUUUCUCUCUCUCUCACACACACAUAUUAUAUGUUCCAUCCUUCUCUUCGUACAAUUCAUACCACCAGUAUGGGGAUUCUAUUCGAACGCACACUGAUGUUCAUGGGACACUGCGCAAACCAACAGAGGCACGCCUCUUUUCUAUCGACACGCCCUCAUUUCCUCCUAGAAUUUCCUUCUAUGUACCAACGCGAUUUUGUGUCACGUUCCAAGGAUUUUCACUUCAUACCUAAUCACGAUUUUUUUAUUAUCAUCUUUUAUCCUAUUCUAUUUUAUACGAUAUAUCUUAUACAUUGUUUUUCUUUUCUUUUUUUUUCUUUUUUUCUUUUUUUUUCUUUUUUUUUUUGAAAGGAGAGAAAGAAGAGAAAGGAGGGAGAGUACGUUUGAGUGGAAUUCUUGGAAAACGAUAGAGAUACUUUCUUAUGUGUUUCUAUGUACAGGGUGAGCUCAUAAUUAUCGUCUUUAUGAUGAUAAUUUACGAUUUUUUACUUUGUUAUCUGUUACAUGAGAAAGCUAUAUAUAUAUGUAAAACAUUUGUAUCUCUUCUUUUUUUUAAAUCGAAAAUAAUUGAUUCACUCUGUAUAUGCAAAUGCAGAUCUAUUACUAGUGUCAUUAAUCUUGAUCUACAAUUUAUUGUCUCCUUUAACGACAGCAUUUUAUUUUUCUCUUUCUCUCUCUCUUUCUCUCUCUCUCUCUCUCUCUCUCUCUCUCGUUAUAUACACGCCCUUCGAAAAUGACUUUUCACGAUAUUUCUCUCGAAUGAAUUCAGGUACUUAUAUAAAAAUUUUUUUUUGAUGAACGACUGUCGUUUAUAGAAAAAUGUAAUUGUGCCCGAUAAGCGACAUUAAUGCUACAAAUUUUAUUCAUUGUCACGCGCUAAAAUUGAGCCACAAGUUAGCAACCCUGUGGGAAACCACUGCAAAUAGUGCAAUCCCCGUCGGUGAUGAAAAGCACGUAGGGUGAUUCUCGUUUUUCAAAGGGAAGGAUAUAUUUUAUCAUUGACAUUAAUAUUUUUCUAAACAUUGAUAUCGUUCCUCUAUUUUUUUUAGAUUUCUCUUUUAUUUUUUAAAUCAUUAACAAAUUGAGGGAUAUGAUGAUACAUAAGAACAUAGAUAUACCAAAAUUGUAUGCUUAUGUGAACAUCCAGUAUAAGGCUAAAAAUCCUCUCGAAUAUGGUUUUGAAAAGAACAGUCAAAAGUGAAGAAUGGAAGGUUAUAUAUAUAUAUAUAUAAAAGAAGAAAGAAAAAAAAUCAGGAUCCCCUUAUAGAAUUUUUUUAUAUCGGCAUGGCACACGCAACUUCCCUGGACGAUCACUCGACACAUGCACGUGCUGAACGUACGCCAAAAAUUAUUUUCGGAUCAGUACACAUCGCUAUCUAUGAAGCUGCGGUCCUAUUAGUACUAUUAAAUAAUUCAUAGGAUUUAAAUUACUUUAAAAUGAUCUUUUCCAGAGUCACUAAUACGAUUUAUAUACAUAGAUAUAUUUGAUUUUUCAUGCGUUAAAUUUUAUUCGAGAACAAUGAAAAAUCCUGUGCAAAAAUGAAAUUAUUUCGAAACAUAGCUGUCAUUUCUACGUUAUAUUUAUAUUUUUAUCAUUUUUCGCUAAUCGUCGUUUAACGAGACAAAUAUAUAAAUGUUUGAACAAUUUUUUAUCUUCU